UGCAGGGAAGGAUGAGAAGCUUCGACCAGGGUUCGAUUCGAGCGCAGCGAGAAAGCGUUGCCGCAGGCAACGACCCGAAGGGUGAGGCGCGAAGCGACGAAUAAUCCUUCCCCCGCCACCA
rnacentral:sRNA from 1 species